rnacentral:rRNA from 1 species
GAUGAACGCUGGCGGCGUGCCUAACACAUGCAAGUCGAACGGAAUUUACAUGAAGCCUAGCGAUUGUAAAUUUAGUGGCGGACGGGUGAGUAACGCGUGAGCAACCUGCCUUUCAGAGGGGGAUAACAUUUGGAAACAGAUGCUAAUACCGCAUAAGAUUACAGUACCGCAUGAUACAGUGAUCAAAGGAGCAAUCCGCUGAAAGAUGGGCUCGCGUCCGAUUAGAUAGUUGGUGAGGUAACGGCCCACCAAGGCAACGAUCGGUAGCCGGACUGAGAGGUUGAACGGCCACAUUGGGACUGAGACACGGCCCAGACUCCUACGGGAGGCAGCAGUGGGGAAUAUUGCACAAUGGGGGAAACCCUGAUGCAGCGACGCCGCGUGGAGGAAGAAGGUCUUCGGAUUGUAAACUCCUGUUGUUGAGGAAGAUAAUGACGGUACUCAACAAGGAAGUGACGGCUAACUACGUGCCAGCAG